rnacentral:misc_RNA from 1 species
GUGAAGAAACACAUUCCACUGAGUUUACAUGGUAUGGACAUGUGGUAUGGUCAAAACCUGAAGUCAGUGUCUCCUCUCACCCUCUGUUCCUUCCAGAAUGGGCCUUCUGUCCCGGCUAUUGACACUAUGAUGUUGAGAAUCGAUAUAUACACUCUGAAGUUCUGAUUCCCGCACAUUAAGAAAAUUGGAGUUAUUAGAAGACUGAGCACCAUUCUGCGAUUCUGCCAACAUCUGAAAGUAAGCAUGAGGUCCCCAGCCAUCUAUAUCAUA